rnacentral:other from 2 species
AUUUUGUUUAUGCCGAAAAACCGCAUACCCAUAAAUCAAUCAAUGACUUAAAUCCCCUGAGUGAAACAACGAAUUGCUGUGUGUAGUCUUUGCCCAUCUCCCACGAUGGGCUUUUUUUUAU